rnacentral:tRNA from 2 species
UCCGCGGUAGCUCAAUGGUAGAGCAGGAAACUGUUAAUUUCAAGGUUGUAGGUUCGAAUCCUACCCGCGGAGCCC